rnacentral:rRNA from 1 species
CCAAUAGCGUAUAUUAAAGUUGUUGCAGUUAAAAAGCUCGUAGUUGAAUUUCGGGAUUGACGUGAUGGUCGUGCCUUACGGGGUAUGAACUGUUGCAGUCAAUUUCUCACCUUCUGGAGAAAUAUGAUGUCCUUAAUUGGGUGUCAUAUGGAACCAGAACUUUUACCUUGAAAAAAUUAGAGUGUUUAAAGCAGGCUUAUUGCUCGAAUACAUUAGCAUG